UUUAACUUUAGCUUGUUAGGACAAAUGGUCCUGCCUUCAAUUUUGUUAACUUUUCUGUUAAAUGCAAGGGCAAAAUGGUAUUUUUGUAUCAAAAUUGAUUAAAAUAUGAAUAAAAAAUAAAUAAAAUUAUAAAAUUAAAAUUAAGCUCUCCCCCCCCUUUCUAUCCCAAUUUCUACUCCCCCCAAACUUUUUUUUUUCGAUUUUUUAUUUGAUUUUCUUUUAUUGUUAUUUUAAAGAUAUAAUUUUUUAUUCAUUUUUUUUGUUUUAAUGUAAAAAUACCAUUUGGCCAUGCAUUUAACAGAAAAAGUUAACAAAAUUGAAGAUAG
rnacentral:lncRNA from 1 species